UACAGAGGGUGCAAGCGUUAAUCAGAGUUACUGGGCGUAAAGGGCGCGUAGGCGGUUAGAUAAGUGAGAUGUGAAAUCCCUGGGCUUAACCUAGGAAUGGCAUCUCAAACUAUUUGACUGGAGUACGGUAGAGGGCAGUGGAAUUUCCGGUGUAGCGGUGAAAUGCGUAGAUAUCGGAAGGAACAUCAGUGGCGAAGGCGACUGCCUGGACUGAUACUGACGCUGAGGCGCGAGAGCGUGGGGAGCAAACAGG
rnacentral:rRNA from 1 species